ACGUAGGGGGCGAGCGUUGUCCAGAAUUACUGGGCGUAAAGCGCACGUAGGCGGGCUGUCAAGUCGGCCGUGAAAGGCACUGGCUCAACCGGUGUUUGUCGGCCGAUACUGGCGGUCUGGAGUAUGGGAGAGGGAGCUGGAAUUCCCGGUGUAGCGGUGAAAUGCGUAGAUAUCGGGAAGAACACCAAUGGCGAAGGCGGGUUCCUGGACGAGAACUGACGCUGAGGUGCGAAAGCCGGGGGAGCGAACGG
rnacentral:rRNA from 1 species